rnacentral:rRNA from 1 species
AAUACUGGACAAUGGGGGCAACCCUGAUCCAGCCAUGCCGCGUGUGUGAAGAAGGUCUNCGGAUUNUNAAGCACUUUAAGUUGGGNGGAAGGGCUUUAGGUUAAUACCCGGAAGUUUUGACGUUACCAACAGAAUAAGCACCGGCUAACUCUGUGCCAGCAGCCGCGGUAAUACAGAGGGUGCAAGCGUUAAUCGGAAUUACUGGGCGUAAAGCGCGCGUAGGUGGCUCAGUAAGAUGGAGGUGAAAACCCCAGGCUUAGCCUCGGAACUGAUUUCAUAGCUGCUGAGCUAGAGUACGGUAGAGGGUAGUGGAAUUUCCUGUGUAGCGGUGAAAAUGCGUAGAUAUAGGAAGGAACACCAGUGGCGAAGGCGACUACCUGGACUGAUACUGACACUGAGGUGCGAAAGCGUGGGGAGCAAACAG